rnacentral:rRNA from 1 species
CCUACGGGAGGCUGCAGUGGGGAAUAUUGCACAAUGGGCGCAAGCCUGAUGCAGCCAUGCCGCGUGUGUGAAGAAGGCCUUCGGGUUGUAAAGCACUUUCAGCGGGGAGGAAGGCGGUGAGGUUAAUAACCUCAUCGAUUGACGUUACCCGCAGAAGAAGCACCGGCUAACUCCGUGCCAGCAGCCGCGGUAAUACGGAGGGUGCAAGCGUUAAUCGGAAUUACUGGGCGUAAAGCGCACGCAGGCGGUCUGUCAAGUCGGAUGUGAAAUCCCCGGGCUCAACCUGGGAACUGCAUUCGAAACUGGCAGGCUAGAGUCUUGUAGAGGGGGGUAGAAUUCCAGGUGUAGCGGUGAAAUGCGUAGAGAUCUGGAGGAAUACCGGUGGCGAAGGCGGCCCCCCGGACAAUGACUGACGCUCAGGUGCGAAAGCGUGGGGAGCAAACAGGAUUAGAUACCCCGGUAGUC